rnacentral:lncRNA from 1 species
AUACCAACUGUGACAUCCCCAAUUUCACGGCCAGAAAAGACCGAUUUGUUUAUGCUUUGUUUUAUAAAUCAGAGUGAUCGUUUAAAGAAAACGGUUGCGGAAUUUGUUCCCAAAAUAAAAUAUGAUAACCAUUUUAUCAAAACAUUUCUCGAAAAGAAUGUAUUUUCAUUAAAUAAUAAAACCUCGGGAUGUCAUGUUCGUUACAGACCAAAAGCAUAAACAACAUAAAAUAGACCUUACAAUAGUUAUUCAACUACUGAUCUAUAAUCCAAAAUCUCUCGUCAAGUCCGCCGACUUAUACUCUUGUGUCAUUACCUGUAAUGAAAAGAAAACUGAGUGGGUCAGGCUUGGGAGCCUGGUGAGCAUAUAGGGUUUUCAACCCACAAUAAUACAUUUAUUAUAUUCAAUUAUCAAACAAUCAACCCAAAUACCCAUCCCCAUUAUCUUCUUAAGGUUUUACCCUAAGAAUCCACUAUCCUUCAUUCAUUCAUUCCUAAGGAUUUACCUAAGGAAUUGGCACGAAGUCCAUUGCUGCCAAAGUUUAUAGAUCAGGUACUAAAUCCAUAGUUAUCAGACGCUAACUCCAUAGUCGUCGGGGUUUACUCAAGCGACGCUAACUCCAUAGUCACCAAGGUUCACUUAACAGGCACGAAGUCACAUCGUCACCAAGGUUUACUCAAUAGGCGCUAACUCCAUAGUCACCAAGGUUCACUUAACAAGCGCUAACUCCAUAGUCGCCAAGGUUUACUCAACAAGCGCUAACUCCAUAGUCGCCAAGGUUCAUCAAAUAGGCACGAAGUCACAUCGUCGCCAAGGUUUAUACAAUAGGCGCUAACUCCAUAGUCACCAAGGUUUAUCUAACAAUAGGCGCUAACUCCAUAGUCACCAAGGUUUAUCUAACAAUAGGCGCUAACUCCAUAGUCACCAAGGUUUAUCUAACAAUAGGCGCUAACUCCAUAGUCACCAAGGUUUAUCUAACAGCAGGCGCUAACUCCAUAGUCACCAACUAUCCCAUCUACCCAUGUUCUACCCAACAAUUUUGUAGAUAUAAAUACUUACACAGUUUAAAUCAUUUAACACCUGUAUAAAACUCCAAAUUCCAUGCCCAUCUCAAAUAGACAAAUAACAUAUAAACACAUAGCACGUAUUUCAUAGCAAAUACUUCAUAUUUAUGUGUUAGAAGAAAGUAACUACACACUCACACAUAUAAACAACAAUAUACUUAAUACACUCAAACCAUACUUGUAUUAUUAUCGUGUUUAUGAAAGGUAGUAUACACUCACUUGAUCAGAAGAUGAUCGGACAGCACUACGACUUGCAGAAGUAGUAAUCCUCAGCAGAUCUGGAAGAUCUCUUCAAAAAUCGAACUUCUCGCGGGCAGAGCUUCGGCUCGGGAACCGCACUUCUCGGGAUCUUCGGGAUCUCGGGACUUGCUUCGGGACUCGGGAAUAAUACCGGGGCUUCGGGGUACUUCUGGCACGCAAAUCGAUGCAAAACGGGAGAGAGAAGAGAGAAAAUAGCAACCCUAAACGGCUGGCCCUUCAAAUCUAUUUAUAGGGCAAAUUUGGCCCUUGCCACGUCGUGGCAACCUUGUUCCACGUCGUGGGCUUGGUCGUCACUGCAUGCGUCAUCCCAAGUUGCAUCUGGGGGCCUCCCGGAGGUGUCAGGACACUUGCCACGUCGUGGCAACCUUGUUCCACGUCGUGGGCUCUGACAGUUUUGGGGUUUCGCGCCCCGAACUUCAGAAAUUCAUAACUUUCGCAUACGAACUCCGUUUUCGACGUUCUUUAUAUCGCCGCGAAGGUGAGAUUAUGCUCUACAACUCUCGUUUAGACUCCAUUGGCUAAUUUUGACUUUAUUUUUAAUAUAUUAUAAUUAUAUUACUUAUAUAUUAUUUUUAGUAGGCUGGGACAGGAAAACUCCGUUAUGAACUCGUAACUUCUUCGUCUGACGUCAGUUUUCGUCUGUCUUUCCGUCAUUUCACUACUAUCGAUGAGAUCUUCAAUUAUCAUUUAGAUCACUAAGGAUAGAUAUCUAUCAACCUUAAAUUCACUAUUUACGUCGCGCUAGGUCGCGAUAGCUCGUGCCGGUUCUGUCGCGAAACUUCGACAGGUCAUAACUUCUUCGUUAUAACUCGGAUUUUGGCGUUCUUUAUAUGCACGGAAACCUUGUGACAUAUACUAAAACUUGGUUAAGAUUAAUCCUUCUAAAUAAUCUUCCAUCAAAAAGUCAUUUUUGAUGCUUAUCGUCUCUAAAUUAACUAGCCCUAAUCUACGGGCGUUACAUCUUUUGCCAUGUAGCAGUAAUUACUUUCAACCUUCGUCGAUCCGUCCUCUUCAGCAACUGCAACCAUGCAGAUCUUCCAUUUUCCCUUGAUUUCGUCAAAAUCUUCAUCUUCAUCUCUAAAUGACCAUACUUGAUGAUCCCUCUUCACUUGAGCAACAUACGCUGUUGCAGUUUCCUUUUCUUCCAUCUAUUGGGCCAUUCUAAGAUAGAAUGCCUUGUUCUUAACCACAUUUGCUUUACAAUCUUUGCCAAAGUGAUUUUCUUUAUGGCACUUGUGGCAGAUAAUGAUUUCAUUUUUCUCUUCAGUUGAGGUACCGGAGGCUAAUGAUUUGCUGGACUGCGGCGCCUCUUUGGAAUGAUGUGCAUUGUAUGGUUGCGGUGGAUGGUGAGGCUUUUUGGGAUAUCAUGAGUGGUUGUUCUGCGGAUUGAAGUUGCGGUUGAAAGGUGGUUUGGUAAACUGGUGAUUUUUACGAAAUGGUGGUGGUGGUAGUCGGUUGAAUUGCUAGCUAACCAAGGCAAUGACAUUUUGAAAUUCUUCUUCGUCAUCUAUUUCAACAUUAGCUUCAUAUGACUGCGAUGAUUCUGUGGGAUAUGAGUACUAUGAAGUUUUGACUUGUGGGGUUUGAGCUAUCAAGGCAAGUGGUCCACCGAGGUCAGCAUAAUCUUCCCGAACAGUUGAUUCUUGUGCCUGAAGUUCUCCAUACAACUUGAACAAGGACAACGUAUGGAUCUUUCUAUCUCCUUGUACAAUCAUCUUCGUAGUAUACCAAAGUCUUCCCAAACCAUUGAGAAAAUGUAGGUUUGUUUCAUGAUUGCUUCGAAUUCUACCUGCAUUUGAUAACUUCGUGAUGAUGAGAUUGAAUCGUUUGAAUGAGUCGUCAAGACUUUCACCAGGAAGAGCUAAAUUGUUAAACUCAAUUAGUUAUGUGGUGAGUUUCUUAUCUGGAGCUUGUUCUAACCCUUGAUAGAGAUUCUUGAGCACAUCCCAGAUCUCUUUAGCAACACCGUAAGAGAUUUCAUAGAAGGCUAUGGCAUCAUUUUCCAUCUUGUCAAGAUCAUCUGUGGUUAGAUAAUUCAUUGCAGCUUGACCUCCACCUAGUCAUGCUUGAGCACCAUCUUCUUGAACAUGAUUAAGAAUAGGGACAUGGGGUCCUUCUUCCACAGAUCUCCACACAUCUCUUCCGCGCCUCUUAAGAUACCUUUCCAUCCUUUGGGACCAAUGGUGGUAUUCAUUUGCAACAAGUAUUGGUGCUCUAUUCGAGCCUCCAACACUUUUAGGAACGUUCAAUGAUAAAGCUUGUGCCAUAUUUCCUUUUUUUUGUUUUUUUAAAGAAUGAGCUUUACUGGUAUAGAAGGCUUUUCAAAAUCCAAGCUUUUGUUUAAAAAGCAACCACUUUGGCUCUGAUACCAAUUUUUGAGAGAAAAACUUUUGAGAAACACUUGAACAAACGUUAGUACAAGAUAAUAGUUGUGGAAUAAGUUAAUCUCAAAGGAUCAAGUUAGCUCAACAAUAAUAAGUUAGAAAUGUUAGAUAGUUAGUUACGGUAAUGUAAAUGACAACAAGUUAUAUCAAGUAAACAUCAAACUGAUUCGUAACAAGGUUUGCAGUCAAACACGAGUUAGUAAGUGUGAACAUUUUAAGAUGAAGAGGACCUCAGAUAUUAGAUAAGAGAGAGAAAGAUAUGAGAGAAUGAUCUUUGUAUUUCAGUGAAAGUUCAAAGGAUCGUGAAAGAGAUGUGUGAUUACAUGAUGAAGGGAGUCUCUAUUUAUAGAGUCCCAUAACGUUACAUGAUGAAGGGAGUCUCUAUUUAUAGAGUCCCAUAAAGCAAUGCUAAUACACUAAGUUAGUUAACAAAAGGUCUUCAUCAAUCUUCAUUGUGGUAGUGAUUGCGGAUGACUACGGUUCUCAAACCAACUUCUUCAGCUUUAACUAUGGUAGACACACUUCAAUUGCAGUAGCCACUACAACUGCAUUAGAUACAAAACAAGAUUACGGAUCCUUAAAGUUAAAGAGGGUCACUUUAUGUAUCAACACUCACAUUACUUAAGAGUUCCACAAAGCACAAAGCAAGCAGCAUUCGUGCAGUUGCACUUCAAUCCAUAUAAUAACCAAAGAUCAUUCAAACUCAUAUACUACCACUCAUGCAAGGAACUUCCACUCUCACUGUCGGUUGCCUUAUGCAUGCAAAUUUUACACAAGAUAGGAUCAAAUAGAAUGUCGAAUAAAAGACUCUACCCUGGGACCAAAACCAAACGAGGAACAGGAAAUAAGGCCAAAUCAAUCAUUCUAGCGCUAUAUGCUCCUAACCGUAUACAAUUUUUAUGGCAUACACUUAGAAAAUCAUGAUAACAAUACACAUUCCCAAUCUAGCAUAGCAUACAAUGCUUCCAAGGCUACAAGGAAUCACAUAUCAUGCUAAUCAAUCAAGUAAUUCCUAAAAGUAUCCCUAGCCUUAUCCUUACAUGCAAACAUUCAUACCAUAUAGCAUAUCAACAUUUAUGGGUAUUUUGGUAAUCACUUACUUGAGCUCGGUCGAUUGCACGCACCACACCGCUCUUCUUUUAUUAUAAAAUCCUCUAAUAAAACCUAUUAUUUUAGAAAAAUUUACCAAACCCUCAGUUUGAGUUCAGACACACCAAAGAGUAUGCUCGAAUCCCUCAAAGGAAGGCUCUGAUACCAACUUCUAACAUCCUGAAAAUCAAGAGGUAAAAAUUUUAUUUUUAUUCAACCAAAACACCAAUUAUCUUUACAAAAACAUUCAAAGUAAUAGAGUUAUCAGAGUAUAAUCCCAAAAUCGACAUGUUGCGGAAACAUGGGUGGAUGCACUGUGAUAAAGUUGGGCCCUUCCCUAUUGAACUAGAAACACCUGAAACCAAGAAUUGAAAACAGUAAGCACAAAUUUUAGUGAGUUUCCCAAAAUACCACAUACCAUACAUAUAAAACAUAUAGUAGGCCCCGCCCUAAUUCGCAUAACGGGCCCGCCCAUUGAGUAUAAUGGGCCUUACCCUAACUCGCAUAACGGGCCCUGCCCACUAAGUAUAACGGGCCUCACCCUAACUCACAUAACGGGACCCGCCCAACAUACAAACAUACAAGUAUAACAAAUGUAAAAACAUACUGAAUAACCAUCAGGCCCCACCCAAUAAGCAUACAAGCACAUACACAUGCAAGAGUCACAUAGACAUCUAGCAUCCUAACAUAACAAACCAUGGGCCGGCAUUGGUGCCUUCGACCCGCUAAACAUGUUGAGGAAACUCACCUCAAGCCGAUGAAUCUGCCAAUGAAUUCUUAGUCUGCUGAUCCGGAAAUCCCUACACGGUAGCACCAUCAAAUAAUUAUCUAAUUAAUAAUUGAAUCUUGACCCAAAACAAGAAUCAAAGCCACUUAAUCCAUAACCAGGGUAAAAGGCCAUUUUACCCUUUCCUUACUUGGCCCAAAACCUAGGCCUAACCUAUUUUCUCGAAAAAUCCCAAUUUCCUAAAUGGAAACCCAAGGCCCAAUAUGGCCCAAUUUCCUAAUUGGGCCCAAAAACUAUCAUGGGACCAAUACCAAGAAGGCCUACGGUCAAUCCAUGGCCUAAAGUCAAAAGUCCAGUGGCCCAACAAGCCCCAAUCCCUAAAAAGCCCAAAAUAUCCAUCCUGGGGAGUAUGCCCUAUGUACUACAAACCUACGCCCCGUGUACUCAGCCACGAAGCACAAUGUACAAGUUCUCGAUGCAUUGUCCAAGCGUUACGCUGAGCGUACUCCUACAUACGCCCAUCAUACUCAUCAGAGGCCAAAACUCACCAUUAAGCUCUUAUUGUGUUAAUUCAAGUUUUCCAAACUAUUAUCUUAACCCGAAAUAAUGUCUUAAACCAUAAAGUCGAAACCUUUAAGCCUUUGCAUGGCUAAAGAGGGUUAAAUCUUCAAAAUCCUUACUUUCACAACACUCAAAACCACUUAACUCUUGCAUGGUGCUAAGGAAACAAUCAAACAAACAUUUUUAUGAUUCAUAAUAGCUCCAUAAUGGAUAAAGUUUUGAACUUUAUCCAUUAGAAUGGUCCCAACAAACAAGAUCUAGUCUUUAAGUCUCAAAGGGACCCAAAAGUGCAUCUUUUUUCAAUUUAAUCCACUAAAUCCAAGUUUACAACCUUCAGAUCUGAAUCAAAAUGAUGUUUAGAUGGAUAAAGUUUCCAAAUUUAUCCAUAACAAGGUCACAAAAUUUCAAGAUCUAAACUUUAUGAACUUAAAGUAACCAAAAGCUCAUAACACUCAAAACUAACUAGAUCUAACAAUAUCAUCAUCAAGAUUCAAAAUUUAUACCUCUAGAAGAAAGAUCAAUGUGAACAAAGUCUGGAUCUACAAGCUCCAAUGUAACCAACACUUCUUCCAUGAGUCCCUUCUUCUCCAAGGUGUACCAAGAACAUUCCAAAGCACUUACAAAUAAAUUCUUUUUUCUCACAAGGCUCAAUCGAGGAUUACAGUUUCAAGAGAUGGUGUUAGAGAGGUGGAGGAUGAAGUGGAGUGUGUUUAGGGAAGUUAAGGAGCUUCAAUAGGGUUCAAACCACGAAAAUAGGGUUUGGGUACUGAUCGUGUACGCCCUACAUACACAAUUUACCCCCAAUGUACUAGGGAUUCCCGAGUAUGCCGUGCGUACUCCUCGUUCGCCUCACGUACGCGGCUGGUCCAGAAAUCACCUAACUUUAAACGAUCGUAACUUCUUCGUUUCAACUACGAUUUCGAUGAUCUUUAUAUCUAUGGAAAGGUAAUGAGAAGCUCUACAACCCUAUAAACUUGCCUUUGCCUUAAAACUUUUUUAACGUAAAUCUAAAAUUCAUAAAAGUCCCAAACUAUCACUUUAAGGUUAUACCCUUGGGCUCCAAAGCGUCAAUCAAACUCUCGGAUCACCUAAUCUACAUUAAUCACAUCCAAAGGGGUCUAAAUCUCUCUUUCCCCUAAGGCUCGAAGCCUUAUGAUAACUGGUCUUCGGGUCACGAACCCGAAUUAUGAAAUGAUUCGAAAUAGGGUGUUACAUCUUUCCUCCUUCAUAAGCACAAGAACAUAUACUUUCAAGCUAAAAAACAUACACCAAUGAACUAGGGUUUGCAAGGAACGUUUCUGGGAGAUGGAGGUUGAUGGGGGCAAGGUCUCAAAGGAGUUAAGUCCUUUAUAUAGGGCUCAAACCCUAAAAAAAUUGGGUUGUGCACUACGGCAUUACGUGUUGCUACUACUAUAAGUCCUCACAUCCAUUUUAAUGAGCUCCAACUUAUGCCCUGUGUAAGUACCAAAAUGUCAACAUUUUAAACUUUGAGCCAUAAAUGAAAAUACCUGAAAAACGAGUGUUACAUUUUGACUCUAAUUUAUCUUUGAAAAAAUGUUUUGAGACAAAUUCUACAUUAUUAUAUUCUUUAACAUGAUACUUUGUUUUAAAUAAGCGCAUAGAGAAAGAUUUAUUUGGCCACACAAAUUAUGUAUGUCACAGUUUAACCAGUUACAGACAAAUUGACCGUAACCAAAUUAACCAAAACCGAUUAAACCGAACAUUAUUUGGUUUGAUUAUGAUUAGUUUUAAGAUGUAAAAAAACGAAAAAACUGAACCGUUUAAACUGCAAACCGAAAAAACAGACUAAAUAACACCCAUAUCACCAAUAAUACGCAUAAACCAAUCUUUUCUCAUUUGAAACCUUCUAUUGAAUUUUUGGUCACCAAAGGUUGCAUUAUUUGCAAAUUAAUGUUGCAUCAACAAUUUUUUUUGUUGUCUCUUCAUGAUCUUUGUGUAAUUUUAGAUAAUGCAUAGAAAAUAAGAAAAUUAGUGGUUUCAUAAUCGUCUGAUGAAGACGCAUAAUAAGGAUUUUCUUUUGUAACGUAUUUCUUGAUGAAUGGAUUCAUUAUUUUUGAAAGAGUUGAAUGAAAUUGGAGAUUGUUGGAAAGAAUUGGAGUGAAUUUAUGUUUUUUAGAGUAGAUGAUUAUUGUGUAUAUAGUUGAAUAUAUAAAAAUCAUUGAACAGUAACAGGGAGGGAGCGAGAAAGAAUUCAUGCGGUUUACUCAACCAGUUCGAAACACCCUUUUGGUGGUACUACGCGGCCUCGUGGCGGUGUAGCCGACAGUACCGCCUUGAACCAACUUCAAAAAGAUUUCCGACUCGACUCCAUCGAAGCCUAAAGUAACAAAGAUAUACAAAUCGGCUCAAAGAAGCUAAAAGGCUACUUAAAAUAUCUACAUAGCCCUUGCAAGUCGAAAUCUUGAUUCUGCAUAUUAGUUUUAAAGAAUUCCAACUGUGUUACCUUUUAAAUAUCGUAUUAACUACACUAUGAUUCAAUUUAUUGAAAUUUAUGAUAUAUUGGAUAGAAUUAGAACGAGUGUUCCAUUGUUCAUAAAAUGUGCUCAAUCAAUGUUAGUUAAUAUUUUUAAAGCUCAAAGUUAUACCAGAGCCAUAAAACCCUAGCUUAAAUUGGAGCGGCUCUUAAACAAUUUUCUUUUAACUGGUCCAUAAAUAUCUCUUGAAUUUUUUACGUUUAGUUACGUUCUCAAAGAUUGGAUCUGAUCGAGGUUCAUUCAGUCGUCAACAAUUUCAAAGUAACCCUUAAAAUAUUUGAGUUAAAUAAAACUUUUCUUCACAUGUACUUAACGUUGUUUCAUAGGAUAAGAUAAAGCUGAAUAAUAAAAAUUAAAAAAUAUUCAGGACUUAAAAGUUUGAUGUGGUCUGUCAUCAUUUUGUUCUUCAUACAAGUGGGGUCCAUUUUUGCAUGAAAAUUAACUUCUUUUACCCUCUACCUCUCCCUCUCAACUUUGUUAAGUCUUUUCUUCAGAUCCCAUCAUAUUUAACCGUCGAUAUAGAGAGAGAGAGAGAGAAACACUCACACUCACUCCGAGUAUAUCAGUGUUAGAGAGAUGAUAAGGGUAUAAAUAAACAAUCGCCGGCGAAUAUAGAACACAAACAUCACCGGAGAAAAGGGUUUGGAUAGUGGAAUCAGUUGCUCAAUUACUUUAUGUGGGUUCUCAACGACCAUGUCAUUUUCCGGCAGAAGGAGGAGAUCAGCGGUGUACUCUUCAAUGGUGGUCUUGCUGAUCAUCUUCUUGGUACUUCAGAUAUGGGCGUUGAAUAGCGAUUGUUGUAGGGUUAGUGCAAUAAGAACGUCACUAUCACCACCACCACAACUACCACCGCCGCCACCACCACCACCACCAUCAUCACAAUCCUCAUCUGCAAAAGAUUCCGACGAGAUCAAACGAUCGGAGCUUUACAGAAGGUUCUUCAAUGGCAGAUUUGCUCGUCUCAACUCCACCACUGUUUCAAAAGAUAAAAGCUUUCAAGAAAACAAAAGAAGAGUUCCCAGUUGUCCAGAUCCUCUUCACAACUAAAAACCCUUGCAUCUCUUAGGUUACCUUCAAGCUCUUUCUUUCUUUCUUUCUUUCUUUCCCUGUGUUUCUCUUAUAAUUUAUUUUGGUAGUUAGUAAAUAUCCAAAAUACCCACGUUUUUCCCACUAUUUUUGUGACAUUAUAUGGAUGAAUUUCGUUAUAUUAGGGGCUAAACCGUGGGUAUUUUGGUAUUGUGUAAGGCAAAAUGCUUUCCUUUUUUGUUUGGUAGAUCAAGAACAAUGGCCGAUCAUGAUGUAUAUACUAUUUGAGAUUUGAAAUUCAUAUAGUUCAACACCUCUUCUCACUUCUGCUUUGCUUCGAUCUUGAUUAUUUAUUUAUAUUUUGGUUUUUAGCUGGCUGAUGGCUCCUUCGUUUUUUGACAGUUUGUACACAUAACAUAGCCCACCUCAAAAACAAAAAACACUCAAUCAUGGUUGAUUAAAUUUGACAAGAUUUGUCAUCAAAAUCAGUCCCCACCAUGUCCCUUCUGAGCUCAAAAUCCUCCAUGAUUACAUGAUGAGCAACGCCAUUAAUUGCCAGAUUUGUGCAUAACUAUUCUUUCUAACUCCAAUGAUCAUCAAAUUCAAUGUAAGAUUUAUAAAUAUAGGAUUCUUGGAAAAAGAUUGUGUAGGUCAAAAGAUUAAACUAUGGCUUCUCUUUUAGAUGUUAAAAAUAAAAUAAACAAGAAAAAUAUGUAAAGCUUGCAUAAAGUGUUUUCGGAAGGUUUCAUGAUUGUUGUAGCAGAAAAGUAAGAAAACAAAAAUAGUAGUAAUUGUGGGUGUUUUUGGUUUUGGGAUGUUUCUUUUCCGACAGAUGUUAAAGGGUACCUUUAUUUUACCCCAAAAGGUCAAAAUAUGACACUUUCAUUUGUCUUUUCUUGUACCCAAAAAUCUUUUAAUCCAAUCUCUAAAACAUCCCCAUGUGAACUCAUCUGUAUCUUCUUCAUUUCCCAUAAGCUAUUUUAUAUACUAUCUUCCUCUUCAAUAAAAUGUACAAAAAUCAAGGAUUAAGAAUUAAGAUGGAAAUAAUGAGCAUGUUGUAAUGAACUAAUUAUUAUUAACAAAUACAUAUAGGUGAGGAUUAAAUGCGAUUAGUUGAUUCAUAGAAAAAAAAAACAUUAGUUGUACAUAAUCUUGACAAGGGUCCUUCUAAUAAACUGACAAACUAACAUUUUUAUCUGACUCAAAAGACAAAAGAUCACAGAUUUUACAAGACAUAACUGCAACCUAUAAUUCGUACCUGAAUCUUCUUUUUAAUACAUCUAUAUAAAAUAAUUUACGUAUUUUCCUUUAUUACAAAAGUGUAUUAUUCUACAUGUGUUGUUUAGGUAUCAUAUAUGGAUAAAGAUUGAUUUGACUAUGGUUGACCUUUGUAAAUGUAGUAGAUUUAGGAUGCCUGAAUGGUAGAGUUCAGAAAAGCGAAUUGCCAUUUGGGUGAAAAUGUAGAUUCUAAGUAUCAAUGCCUUGAAAGGAGGAUACACGUCUUGGAAGAGGGGAUCAAUACUUUUUACUCCCCAACACUGCCUAUUACACAAAAUAUAUACUCAUCAUUUCAUAUAUAAAUUCCAUUCUAAUACUCAAUCUAUCUCAGCAAUUGUUUAUUAAAAAUAUUAUUACAAAAAGUGAGAGAUAUUCAUAUAGGAACUGAUUUAUGUUAUUUAUUUAUUUAAAAAGUGUUUUAGCUUUUAUACAAUUAAAGAAAGAGUUGUAUAAAGUCAAAACAAUUUUUUUCAAUAAAUAAAUAAAUAAAUAUAAAUAAAAAUAUCACCUCCCAAUUCGUAUGGCUACAAUGCACAUAGUAUACAAUCAUGUUGGAAAAAAGUUGUAUUCUUGGCUUUGAUUCUCGUUUUUUAUUUAAUCUUUAUUAAUUUAAGUGUACAUUAAAAAAAGUAUAGUGUAGUAUUUUAUCUAAAAGGCUAUUAUGAAUACUUAAAUGUAAACUACAUCAAAAAAAUGUUCAAACUUCAUUUCUUUUACCAUUAGAAAUGUUAUUAAAAUAUGGGGAAAUUAACUAAUCUAACCAUAAUGUAAUAUGUGUUUGAAGAAAAUAACAAUUUUUUUUUAGAAAAAUAACCAUCAAGUCCGGAAUGGAGGAUACGAACAAAGAAAAACUAUUUUUUCUGACAAAAAAGUAAAUUUCGAACUAAUAUUUCGGAUUUCAGAUUGAAAUCUCAAAGUUCGAAAAACAAACACUAAAGUUUCAAGAAAAGUUGAAAAUCUGAUGAACAGUUAUAUAAUUUCUAGAAGAAAAAAGAUUUUGUUUUCUACUAAAAUUUGUUUAAAUCAAAUAUUUAAUUGAAAAACGGUAAUAUUAAAGAAUUUAAAAUAGACAUUUCAUAUAUAGGUAAAGAUAUUUCUUUGAAAAAAUAUCAUAAAAGAAUUCCUUAGUCCAAAAUGAGAACAUUUAGGAGAAAGUGAUUAUCUUUUAAAAACUAAACAAAUGUUAUUUUCUUUAAAAAGUUUAUUUACAAUCGAUAGAUUACUUAAUUUCCAUAAAAUCUAUACACUUAAUCAAAUCAAANNNNNNNNNNNNNNNNNNNNNNNNNNNNNNNNNNNNNNNNNNNNNNNNNNNNNNNNNNNNNNNNNNNNNNNNNNNNNNNNNNNNNNNNNNNNNNNNNNNNNNNNNNNNNNNNNNNNNNNNNNNNNNNNNNNNNNNNNNNNNNNNNNNNNNNNNNNNNNNNNNNNNNNNNNNNNNNNNNNNNNNNNNNNNNNNNNNNNNNNNNNNNNNNNNNNNNNNNNNNNNNNNNNNNNNNNNNNNNNNNNNNNNNNNNNNNNNNNNNNNNNNNNNNNNNNNNNNNNNNNNNNNNNNNNNNNNNNNNNNNNNNNNNNNNNNNNNNNNNNNNNNNNNNNNNNNNNNNNNNNNNNNNNNNNNNNNNNNNNNNNNNNNUAUAUAUAUAUAUAUAUAUAUAUAUAUAUAUAGAGAGAGAGAGAGAGAGGGAGAGAAAGAGAGAAUUAGGUUCAAGUAUUCUAACUAAUUAUUGUACAUCUAUCGUAUGCUAUGAGAAUGACAAAAAAAAAAUAUGUUGUUUGAUAAUAUAAAUACGUUCAGUUUUACAUAAUUAUUGUCAUUAACAAAUAUUCUCACUAAUUAAAUAGUCUAUAAGGUUAUUAUACACUUAUUAUUAUUAUUCUCAUUUCUGUCAGAAUAUUGUCAGAAUGUUUUAUUGGGUCGUAUUCUGUCAGAAUGAAAAUUACUGAAAUAUGAUGUGUGAGAAAAAAAAAUAAUUAAUGAGAAUGCAAGAAAAUGACGAUAUUCUUGUAAGGUUGAACGUAUUCGCAUUNNNNNNNNNNNNNNNNNNNNNNNNNNNNNNNNNNNNNNNNNNNNNNNNNNNNNNNNNNNNNNNNNNNNNNNNNNNNNNNNNNNNNNNNNNNNNNNNNNNNNNNNNNNNNNNNNNNNNNNNNNNNNNNNNNNNNNNNNNNNNNNNNNNNNNNNNNNNNNNNNNNNNNNNNNNNNNNNNNNNNNNNNNNNNNNNNNNNNNNNNNNNNNNNNNNNNNNNNNNNNNNNNNNNNNNNNNNNNNNNNNNNNNNNNNNNNNNNNNNNNNNNNNNNNNNUAAUAAUAAAUUUUUUGGUAAAGAUUUUACAAACUAAUGGUAUUUGUGUAAUUUGUUCUUAACUUUGAUUCAAGCAUAUUGGAGCUUGUUUAACCAUAAUAGGGUAAAAAUGUAAUGAAUGCUAAGUUUAAGGGGCAUAUUCGACAGUUUUUGGGAAUAUCAAAAGAGUGCAAUUAAAUGGUGGCAUUCAACACAUUCUUCCGUGUUAUUCGGAGUACGUCAACCUAAUCCAUGCCUCCCUAAUUCAUUCUUUCACUGUCUGUCCCAAUGCCAGCUACCACUUCCUUCAAUUCAUUCAAUAAACAAGUUGCUCAACCCCAAAAACCACAUAUAUACUGGUCUUUAUAAUAUAUUAUCAUUGCUAAUUUCUUUAAAUCUGUUAAGUUUGUUUAUAAAAGAAAAAAAUACAAAUACUUAGCUUAAAUGAGGAUUAUUAAGUGGCAUGAAGAUACAUUAUGGUCGGGGCCAACGGGGGAGCGUGUAGACGUGAACAAAAAGACUGGUCUUGGACAACGUCUGGAAAUGACCGAGACCAAACCAAUCCAAAACGAAACCACACCAAAAGAAGACCGCACGAGCCCUAGACUGUCAAGGACCGGUCCAAAAAAAAAAAAAACAAAAAACUGCUAUGAGAUUAAUGUCUAAAAAGACCCGACCGUUCUGAGACCGUUCCAAAACCAGUCUCAAAAAAGAUUGUAAGCGAAAGUUUAUAUACAUAGAAUUUUGUGUGUUAUUACACAAUUUUAAUCAAAUUACUAAACUUGUUCCAUUCUUUACUUUAUUAAAUUUUAGUGUAUCAUUUUUAUUAUCUCUUAAUGCAUUAUUUUUGUGUUAAUCUUAUAUUUUUUAAUGGAAAAACUCGAAACUGAAAACACCUCAAAACUAAAUCGAAAAAGAUACACAAAAAGACUACGGGAUUGGACCGAAAAAGAUCUAGACCGGCCCCAAAUAGGUCAGACUGAAAAACACCAACCAAAGACCGUUUGAGAAAAAGACUCAUCUGUUUUGAGACAUGUCUUAGGGGAACCUAGGAGACCGUCCAGGGCCCAUAGUUAAGGGGCCCGCAAAUUUUCUAUAAAUUGUAGGGAAAAUUAUAGAAAUGUUGGUUGAACUCAGAAAUGGCAAAAAGGGUCAUGGAGAUGUGAUUGACAUAGUAAGAAAAUGAGGAAAUAAUCAGGAAAAGUUAAGAACCAAAUAUCUUUAAAGUCAUUUAUACAAAUCAUAAAAAUAAUAUCUUUGAGUUUAUUUAUUAGUUCUUAAAAUCAUGCAUCGGACAAGUUAUUAUUUUAGUUAUAAACAGGUAAUUUUUUUUCCAAAAUAUCUUUAUUUUCAUCAAGAAGUGUUGCAUUUUCCUAAAUAUCAAUUUUAUAUAAGUUGUUUUUCACAAAAUUUCCAAAAUCAAAAUACUAGUAGAGUUUGUUAAUGGAAAAACACGAAACCGGAAAAUAACGAAAACACCCAGAAACCGAAUCGAAAAAGACACACAAAAGACCGCGAGAUUGCAUUGAAAAAGAUCGAGACCAAUCCCAAAAAGGUUAGAUGGAAAAACACUGACCCAAGACCGUCCGAGACUGAUAUGGAAAAAGACUGAUUCCUUUUGAGACCAGUCCUAGGGGGAACCUAUGUGACUGUCCAAGGCCCAUAGUUAAAAGGGACCGCCGAUUUUCUUCAAAUUGUUGGGGAAACCAUAAAAAUGUUGGUUGAACUUUGAAAUGGCAAAAACGGUCAUGAAGAUGUGAUUGACAUAAUAGGAGAAUAAGGGAAUCAUUUGGAAAAGUUAAGAACCGAAUAUCUUUAAAGUCAUUUAUGCAAAUCAUAAACUAAUAUCUUCGAGUUUGAUUUAUUAGUUCUUAAAACCAUGCGUCGGGCAAGUUACUAUUUUAGUUAUAAUCAUGUAAUUUUCUUUUAUAAAAUAUCUUUCAUUUCGCCAAGAAGUGUCGCAUUUUCCUAAAUAACAAUUUUAUAUAAGUUGUAUUAGAGAUAUAUUACCAAAAUGGAUUUACUUUGUAUAUUAUUUUUAUGUUUUUUUGUAUUCCUUAUUUAUCUUAUUGUAUUUUAUCAAUUAUAUAUAUAAAAUACCGCUCUGCCACAAUUAUUGGUACGAUUUCAUAUCACUUACACGGUAUCAACCAAAUUUUAGGGUUUCUGCCUCCCCCUUUGUGAGCACCGACUUCAAGUUUAUCACAUACCUGGUGAGAUUUUCUUUUCAUACUCAUCAUGCUUUUUUCUUCUUUUUCAAUCAAUGAUGCGUCUCUACCCAUGGCUAUUGUUCUGCACAUGAUUACAAUCAAACUAUCAUUUCUAGCUACUUGUUGUGGAAGAAUCAUAUGAUUCCUAUUCUCACAUAUAAAAAUCUUUAUCCCACAUGUAUGGUUUCUUUAUUUUGUCUCCAAUCAAAUUCUUCAAUAUGGUAAAGAAAUUACAAAUUUUGAUUAUGGCUCAUGGUUAUCUGUUGAUCAAUGUGAUGUCAUCAUUCUUAACAUUUCUUUGACUGAGGAAGUGGUUACUGAAGUUCUUAUAUUCUCUCACGUUAGAGAGAUAUGGUUAGCCCUUUUCAUGAUCAACUUCAACAACGCAUAAAACGAAUCGCUUCUGUUGCUAAUUUUGGUAGAAAAUUUAAGAAUGUUUGUUAUUAGCUUGCAGCUAUAAGUCACCCAAUGGAUGAAAAAGAUAAAUUCCAUUGGUUUUUAUGUAGACUUAGUGCAUAUUUUGAGAUUUUUUCUACAACCAUACAUACCUCCAAACCAUGACCUGUAUUUUAUGACUUGCUUUCUCAGGAUGAGAGUCAUGAAAUUUUCUUAAAGUUACAUUAUGGUUCUACGCCACCACCUGUUGUGUUUUAUGCUCAAAAUUCUCAGCCUAAUUACAACUCUAAGCAUCAUGGUCGGUCACCCCAAUCAUAUCGUGGAGGUAACUCAGGUGGCAGAAAACAUGUUACUCGUCAUCCUCCAGACAAUCAACUUUGUCGUCAAAACAUACGUUAUGCAGAAGCUUAUCCUACUUUAUACAGUUACGCCAAGAAAGCGCUAUAUCCGGAUGCGAAUCUAGUACAAGAAUUUUAGGUUGAAUGUCAUGUGACUUCAUCCGCUCCACACCAGUAUGUUGAUUAAGUAGCAACUGCUCAUAUGACUCUUUCUCAAGACACUAUCCAACGUAGUGCACCAUACUUGGGUAAUUCCAUAGUUACAUUUGGAAACAGUAUUCUCUUCCUAUUUUUCAUAACUACAGUUUCAAACCAUAUUAAAUUGAAAGAUGUCUUGGUUGUUCUACAUCUCAAUAAGAAUCUUUUGUCCAUAAGCAAACUCACAAAUGAAAACCCACUAGAUGUUUUAUUUUCUCAACCCUUAUUUCAGAUUCAGGAUAGGCACAAGAGACAAGUUCUAGCACAAAGAAAAUGUGAAUAUGGUUUAUAUAUUCUUAAAGAGGGACAUAAAGCUUUGGUUUCAGUUUUAAGUUCAGCUUCUAGAGCCUCCUUGGCAUAAGAGACUAGGCCAUUUUUCCUAUGAUGUUAUUGAUGGGUUUAUAGGUAACAAAAAUUUCAUGUGGCGGAAAAACUUAACACUUAAGUUCACAUACAACCUAUAAGGAUCUAUGUUUUCUCUAUUGAACAUAUGUCACACCCCAAAACAGAGAACGGUGGAAGCGUUCUGGGGCUGAGGACGUCAUGUAAUGUAUCACAACAAUGUAAAGUAGUAAACAAGCAACAACAUCAUCCAUUGCAUUAAUAGUAUAAUUUUAAUUACAAGUGUGUUCUUUCAUAGUAUAAGACAACAUAAUAAAUAUUCAAAAUAAAAGAGGAGUCUUGAUUGCUCUAUCUUCACAAAACCUGGUCGUCGUACCCGUCUAUUUGUGACCUGAGAAUACAAGUAUUUUGAAAGCGAGUAUCAACAAUAAAGCUGAUGAAUUCAUAAGUAUUAAUGUGUCUUUGAUUUGUAAAACUGGAAAGUAAAAACUUGUAAACAUUUGGAAAAAAGUAUGUAUAAGUAUGAACUGUUUGAAAGUAGUUGAAAAUGUUUGAACACCCUAGCAAAUCCCUAUGAUUUCUAUUAGUAUAAAUAGUAGUCUUCUACCAAGGCCUAACUAUUUUGAAAGUAUGCAUCACUGUAAAUGUGACGGUUUUUCCCUGUUUAACAAUUGUUAUAAAACUAUAGUCUACCUCAUCGAUUAUGUAAAUGUGUCACAAAAUAAUGGUAGUAAUAUAAUUAUAUAAGUUUAGUCUACCUCGUCGUUGUGCGAAUGUAUCACAAAGUAAAGGAAUUGAACUAAUAACUUAAAUAUUAUCCUUUGGUACUAGGAUAAACACGGCAUAGGAAUUACCGAAUGGUAUUAACUGUAGUCAUUUGAAGAUGUACAUUUACCUCUGUUGCUAACAGUUGGGUGUAGAAAUAGUUAGUCCCUUAAGGUAUAACUAUAAUGGUAUCAACCGUAGACAUCCAUAGAUGUGCAUUUACCUCUGUAGCUAAUAGAGGUUAUAGGAAUGGUUAGCCCCGCAAAGUAUCCAUUUGUACUAGGAUAGACAGAUCUAAUCUACAUGUAUAAUAUGUAAUAGUAUCUCAUCAUAUAGUAUCUAGGUAAAAGUAUCCAUGUAAGAGGAUUCAUGUAAGCGCAUCUAUGUAAACGUAUUCAUGUAAGUGCAUCUAUGUAAACGUAUUCAUGUAGCAUGUAAUGUAUUGUAUAGACUCAUGAAUGAACUGACUCUUGUGCGAUUCCUUGUACUUGGAAUGGUAAAUAGUAUCUCCUAACUAUACCUAUUAUAGUUACUAGUAAUGUACGUGUAUAACUUGAAGUAUGCCUUUGCUACCUAAAGGUACUGAACUGACUGAGGAAAACUUUUAUGUCUAUAUAUGUACAUAUGAUAUAUAGCUAAUAUUUAGACGACAUUCGGACGGAUAACCGAUAUCCCAUAGCCACAUUCCAACGAGGAAAAGGAAAUAGAAUGAGUUAGGCUCCCUAAUUCCUUUAAACAUUACUUAUAUAAUGUGACAUCCCCAAAAUCACGGCCAGAAAAGACCGAUUUUGUUUAUGCUUUAUAAAAAUUAGAGUACUUCAUUUUAUAAAAAGGUUGCGGAAUUUGUUCCCAGAAAAACAUGGUAAAUACGUUAUUAAAACAUUUUCGAAGAAACGUAUUUAUUUCAUUUUAAAAUGUUUGGGAUGUCAUCGUUAAUACCGAAACAUAAGCAUAAACAGAACUUACAAUGAUUUACACUAGUGAUCUACAUCUCUUUUAAAUCUCUCAGUGUAAUGUCACUUCACUUCGUCACCUGUGAUAUACAUAAACUGAGUGGGUCAGGUUGGGAAACCUGGUGAGUACAUAGGGUUUUCAACCCACAAUAAUAUAAUUAUUAUGUUCAAUCAAACAAUCAACCCAAUUACCCAUCCCCAUUAUCUUCUUUACUCUUUAAGGAUUUAACCUAAGAGUCAUCUAUCUUGCAUUCGUUUAUUCCGAAGUCCCUUACUUCCAGGGUUAUGGGACUGGCACUAAAUCCAUAGCUGCCAAUGUUCGUUUAUAAAGCACUAAUUCCAUAGCUGCUAUAGUCUAUUCAUCGGGUACUAAAUCCAUAGCUACCAGUCUUUAUCUAAUAGGUACUAAGUCCAUAGCUACCAAUGUUCAACAGGUACUAAGUCCAUAGCUACCAAUUCCUACAGGUACUAAAUCCAUAGCUACCAACGUCUAAAAGGUACUAAGUCCAUAGCUACCGGUGUUUGUCCCAUAGGCACUAAGUCUGUAGCUGCCAAUGUAUACUCACGUCAUCUUCUAUCUCUCAUCAUUCAUCU